rnacentral:rRNA from 1 species
CGAGGGGAAUUGAAACAUCUUAGUACCCUCAGGAAAAGAAAUCAAUAGAGAUUGCGUCAGUAGCGGCGAGCGAAAGCGCAAGAGGGCAAACCCAGUGCUUGCACUGGGGGUUGUAGGACUGCAAUGUGCAAGAGCUGAGUUUAGCAGAACAUUCUGGAAAGUAUAGCCAUAGAGGGUGAUAGUCCCGUAUGCGAAAAACAAAGCUUAGCUAGCAGUAUCCUGAGUAGGGCGGGACACGAGGAAUCCUGUCUGAAUCCGGGUCGACCACGAUCCAACCCUAAAUACUAAUACCAGAUCGAUAGUGCACAAGUACCGUGAGGGAAAGGUGAAAAGAACUGAGGUGAUCAGAGUGAAAUAGAACCUGAAACCAUUUGCUUACAAUCAUUCAGAGCACUAUGUAGCAAUACAGUGUGAUGGACUGCCUUUUGCAUAAUGAGCCUGCGAGUUGUGGUGUCUGGCAAGGUUAAGCAAACGCGAAGCCGUAGCGAAAGCGAGUCUGAAUAGGGCGCUUAGUCAGAUGCUGCAGACCCGAAACGAAGUGAUCUAUCCAUGAGCAAGUUGAAGCUAGUGUAAGAACUAGUGGAGGACUGAACCCAUAGGCGUUGAAAAGCCCCGGGAUGACUUGUGGAUAGGGGUGAAAGGCCAAUCAAACUUCGUGAUAGCUGGUUCUCUCCGAAAUAUAUUUAGGUAUAGCGUUGUGUCGUAAUAUAAGGGGGUAGAGCACUGAAUGGGCUAGGGCAUACACCAAUGUACCAAACCCUAUCAAACUCCGAAUACCUUAUAUGUAAUCACAGCAGUCAGGCGGCGAGUGAUAAAAUCCGUCGUCAAGAGGGAAACAACCCAGACUACCAGCUAAGGUCCCUAAAUCUUACUUAAGUGGAAAACGAUGUGAAGUUACUUAAACAACCAGGAGGUUGGCUUAGAAGCAGCCAUCCUUUAAAGAAAGCGUAAUAGCUCACUGGUCUAGUGAUUUUGCGCGGAAAAUAUAACGGGGCUAAAGUAAGUACCGAAGCUGUAGACUUAGUUUACUAAGUGGUAGGAGAGCGUUCUAUUUGCGUCGAAGGUAUACCGGUAAGGAGUGCUGGAGCGAAUAGAAGUGAGCAUGCAGGCAUGAGUAGCGAUAAUUAAUGUGAGAAUCAUUAACGCCGUAAACCCAAGGUUUCCUACGCGAUGCUCGUCAUCGUAGGGUUAGUCGGGUCCUAAGUCGAGUCCGAAAGGGGUAGACGAUGGCAAAUUGGUUAAUAUUCCAAUACCAACAUUAGUGUGCGAUGGAAGGACGCUUAGGGCUAAGGGGGCUAGCGGAUGGAAGUGCU